rnacentral:rRNA from 1 species
CACGAGAAGACCCUAUAGAGCUUUACUUAAAAAAUACAAAAUAAUUAGUUAACGGUUCGGUUGGGGCGACCAAGGAAUACCAAACAUCCUUAAAACUAAGAGUUACCACUCUCCAUAUAGAUCCUAAUCAUAGACCUAAGAAUCUCGCUACCUUAGGGAUAACA